GUAGUCAUAUGCUUGUCUCAAAGAUUAAGCCAUGCAUGUCUAAGUACAUGCCUCAUUAAGGCGAAACCGCGAAUGGCUCAUUAAAUCAGUUAUGGUUCCUUAGAUCGUACCUUACUACUUGGAUAACUGUGGUAAUUCUAGAGCUAAUACAUGCAUCAGAGCUCCGACCCUCUGGGGACGAGCGCUUUUAUUAGACCAAAACCAAUCGGACUCGUUCCGUAUCCUAUGGUGACUCUGUAUAACUUUGGGCUGAUCGCAUGGGCUUGUCCCGGCGACGCAUCUUUCAAGUGUCUGCCUUAUCAACUGUCGAUGGUAGGUUAUGCGCCUACCAUGGUCGUAACGGGUAACGGGGAAUCAGGGUUCGAUUCCGGAGAGGGAGCCUGAGAAACGGCUACCACAUCCAAGGAAGGCAGCAGGCGCGCAAAUUACCCACUCCCGGCACGGGGAGGUAGUGACGAAAAAUAACAAUACGGGACUCUUUUGAGACCCCGUAAUUGGAAUGAGUACACUCUAAAUCCUAUCACCAGGAUCUAUUGGAGGGCAAGUCUGGUGCCAGCAGCCGCGGUAAUUCCAGCUCCAAUAGCGUAUAUUAAAGUUGUUGCGGUUAAAAAGCUCGUAGUUGGAUCUCAGUUCCAGACGGGCGGUCCGCCUAACGGUGGUUACUGCCUGGCCUGAACAGCCAGCCGGUUUCCCUAGAUGAUCUUCACCGGUUGUCUUGGGUGACCGGCACGUUUACUUUGAAAAAAUUAGAGUGCUCAAAGCAGGCGUGUAGCCUGAAUAAUGGUGCAUGGAAUAAUGAAAUAGGACUUCGUUUCUAUUUUGUUGGUUUUCGGAACACGAGGUAAUGAUUAAGAGGGACAGACGGGGGCAUUCGUAUUGCGACGCUAGAGGUGAAAUUCUUGGACCGUCGCAAGACGAACUACUGCGAAAGCAUUUGCCAAGAAUGUUUUCAUUAAUCAAGAACGAAAGUUAGAGGUUCGAAGGCGAUCAGAUACCGCCCUAGUUCUAACCAUAAACGAUGCCAACCAGCGAUCCGCCUGAGUUCCUCAAAUGACUCGGCGGGCAGCUUCCGGGAAACCAAAGUGUUUGGGUUCCGGGG
rnacentral:rRNA from 1 species